rnacentral:lncRNA from 1 species
UAGCGACGUGCACGGGGAUGGGGGCACGGGGACGUGCACGGGGAUGACACAGGGGCAUCAGGGUGUGCACGGGGAUGACACAGGGGACAUGAGGGCGUGCACGGGGACGUGCACGGGGACACUGAGGGCCAGGGCCCCACUCACUGGCACGGGGACAAGGACACGGGGACACUCGUGACACCGGUCAGGGUCACUCUCACGGGGGCUGGGAGGGGGGGGGACGGGACACACACGCUUGUGGGGACACGGGGGUGUCACGGGGACACUGGUGAGUGUGCAGGGGGAUGGGGGGGGCACGACGACACACGCGCGCGUGUGUGUGUGGCACCACGUUACGCAAGAGCCGCGCGUCACACGCGUGUCCCCUCGCACGGGGCCUUUGCGCCACCUUCGCACGCUCACACACACACACAGGAGGGGGGGAGGACACCCUUGCACACCCCUUUGCACGCCCCUGCGGCACCUCACACACCUUGGGACCACCUUGCACACCCCUCCCAGCACCUUGCACAUCUUGCUAGCGCCUUGCACGCCCCUUCGCACCUCGCCCAUCCCUCCCAGCAUCUUGCACGUCUCUUGCACACCCCUCCAGACCCUCACUCCUCGCUUACACUCCCCCUUAGCGCCUUGCACGCUCCUCCAGCCUCUUGCACACCUCUCCCAGCACCUCACACACCUCAUUAGCACCUUGCACAACCCUCGUGCANCCCUCCAGCCUCUUGCACACCCCUCCCAGCACCUUGCACACCCGGCUGCACCUCGCCCAUACCUCCCAGCCCCUCACCCAUCCCUUGCACACCCCUCCGGCACCUUACACACUCCACCUGCACCUCACGCAUCCCUUGCACACUCAGCCCAGCCCCUCACACACCCCACUAGCCCCUUGCCCAUCCCUUGCACGCCCCACCUGCGCCUUGCACAUCCCUUGCACACUCAUCCCAACACCUUACACGCCUUGUCUGUGCCUCCCCAUCCCUUGCACACUCAUCCCAGCACCUCACACUCCCCAUUUACACCUCACCCAGCCCUUGCACACUCUCCCCAGCAUCUCCCCCCACCACCAUUACCACCUUGCACGCCCCUCCAGCCCCUCGCCCACCCUCCCAGCCCCUUGCACACUCAUCCUAGCCCCUCACACGCCCCAUUUACACCUCACCCGUCCCUUGCACACUCAUCCCAGCACCUCACGCUCCCCAUUUACACCUCACCCGUCCCUUGCACACUCAUCCCAGCACCUCGCACUCCCCAUUUACGCCUCACCCCUCCCUUGCACACUCAUCCCAGCACCUCACGCAUCCCUCGCAC